AACGCACAUUGCGCCCGCCAGUAUCCUGGCGGGCAUGCCUGUUCGAGCGUCAUUUCAACCCUCAGGCUUCGCCUGGCGUUGGGGACCUGCGUUUGCAGCCCCCGAAAGACAGCGGCGGUCCCGUCGUGGCACCGAGCGUAGUAUACAUCUCGCUACGGGCGUCCGCACGGCGGCUUGCCGGAAAACCCCUUCUUUUGUGGUUGACCUCGGAUCAGGUAGGAAUACCCGCUGAACUUAA
rnacentral:misc_RNA from 1 species